GACAGAGGGUGCAAACGUUGUUCGGAAUUACUGGGCGUAAAGCGCGUGUAGGCGGCGUGGCAAGUCGGGUGUGAAAGCCCUCAGCUCAACUGAGGAAGUGCGCCCGAAACUGCUGUGCUUGAGUGCCGGAGAGGGUGGCGGAAUUCCCCAAGUAGAGGUGAAAUUCGUAGAUAUGGGGAGGAACACCGGUGGCGAAGGCGGCCACCUGGACGGUAACUGACGCUGAGACGCGAAAGCGUGGGGAGCAAACAGG
rnacentral:rRNA from 1 species